rnacentral:rRNA from 1 species
AGACGUCUACAUUAGAUACCCGCGUAGUCCCAGCCGUAAACUAUGCGCGUUAGGUGUAUCGGUGACCACGAGUCACCGAGGUGCCGAAGGGAAACCGUGAAACGUGCCGCCUGGGAAGUACGGUCGCAAGGCUGAAACUUAAAGGAAUUGGCGGGGGAGCACCACAACAGGUGGAGCCUGCGGUUUAAUUGGACUCAACGCCGGGAAGCUCACCGGAUAGGACAGCAGAAUGAUUGCCGGGCUGAAGACCCUGCAUGACUAGCUG